rnacentral:rRNA from 1 species
UGAAUACAUAGGUUAACGAGGCGAACCGGGGGAACUGAAACAUCUAAGUACCCCGAGGAAAAGAAAUCAACCGAGAUUCCCCCAGUAGCGGCGAGCGAACGGGGAGCAGCCCGGAGUCUGAAUCAGCUUGUGUGUUAGUGGAACGGUCUGGAAAGUCCGACGGUACAGGGUGAUAGUCCCGUACACGAAAAUGCACAUGCUGUGAACUCGAAGAGUAGGGCGGGACACGUGGUAUCCUGUCUGAAUAUGGGGGGA